CAAUGAAGGAAGCACGGUAAUGUUCACAGAAAUUAAAUUGGGUCUUUAGGCCUGCACUCUCUGAUGCUAUUUGGCUUUGAUUAGUGGGUAUGGUUUUGCAACAAAACA